GCUGGGCGUGGUGGCACACGCCUGUAAUCCCAGCUACUCAGGAGGCUGAGGCAGGAGAAUUGCUUGAGCCUGGGAGGCGGAGGUUGCAGUGAGCCGAGAUCGUGCCACUGCACUCCAGCCUGGGCAACAGAGCGAGACUCUGUCUCAA
rnacentral:SRP_RNA from 1 species